rnacentral:rRNA from 1 species
UACAGAGGUCUCAAGCGUUGUUCGGAUUCAUUGGGCGUAAAGGGUGUGUAGGUGGCGCGCUAAGUCGGGUGUGAAAUUUCGGAGCUUAACUCCGAAACUGCAUUCGAUACUGGCGUGCUUGAGGACUGGAGAGGAGACUGGAAUUCAUGGUGUAGCAGUGAAAUGCGUAGAGAUCAUGAGGAAGACCUGUGGCGAAGGCGGGUCUCUGGACAGUUCCUGACACUGAGACACGAAGGCCAGGGGAGCAAACGGG